AUUGAACGCUGGCGGCAGGCCUAACACAUGCAAGUCGAACGAGUGGCGGACGGGUGAGUAAUGUCUGGGAAACUGCCUGAUGGAGGGGGAUAACUAACGGAAACGGUAGCUAAUACCGCAUACCAGAAGAUGUGCCCAGAUGGGAUUAGCUUGUUGGUGGGGUAACGGCCCACCAAGGCGACGAUCACUAGCGGGUCUGAGAGGAUGACCCGCCACACUGGGACUGAGACACGGUCCAGACUCCUCCGGGAGGCAGCAGUGGGGAAUAUUGCACAAUGGGCGCAAGCCUGAUGCAGCCAUGCCGCGUGUAUGAAGAAGGCCUUCGGGUUGUAAAGUACUUUCAGCGGGGAGGCGUUACCCGCAGAAUAAGCACCGGCUAACUCCGUGCCAGCAGCCGCGGUAAUUC
rnacentral:rRNA from 1 species